rnacentral:rRNA from 1 species
AGAGUUUGAUCAUGGCUCAGAUUGAACGCUGGCGGCAGGCCUAACACAUGCAAGUCGAGCGGAUGAGUGGAGCUUGCUCCAUGAUUCAGCGGCGGACGGGUGAGUAAUGCCUAGGAAUCUGCCUGGUAGUGGGGGACAACGUUUCGAAAGGAACGCUAAUACCGCAUACGUCCUACGGGAGAAAGCAGGGGACCUUCGGGCCUUGCGCUAUCAGAUGAGUCUAGGUCGGAUUAGCUAAUUGGUGAGGUAAGGCUCACCAAGGCGACGAUCCGUAACUGGUCUGAGAGGAUGAUCAGUCACACUGGAACUGAGACACGGUCCAGACUCCUACGGGAGGCAGCAGUGGGGAAUAUUGGACAAUGGGCGAAAGCCUGAUCCAGCCAUGCCGCGUGUGUGAAGAAGGUCUUCGGAUUGUAAAGCACUUUAAGUUGGGAGGAAGGGCAGUAAGCUAAUACCUUGCUGUUUUGACGUUACCGACAGAAUAAGCACCGGCUAACUUCGUGCCAGCAGCCGCGGUAAUACGAAGGGUGCAAGCGUUAAUCGGAAUUACUGGGCGUAAAGCGCGCGUAGGUGGUUCAGCAAGUUGGAUGUGAAAGCCCCGGGCUCAACCUGGGAACUGCAUCCAAAACUACUGAGCUAGAGUACGGUAGAGGGUGGUGGAAUUUCCUGUGUAGCGGUGAAAUGCGUAGAUAUAGGAAGGAACACCAGUGGCGAAGGCGACCACCUGGACUGAUACUGACACUGAGGUGCGAAAGCGUGGGGAGCAAACAGGAUUAGAUACCCCGGUAGUCC